GCCUCAGAUCGGNCGAGAUUACCCGCUAAUUUAAGCAUAUAACUAAGCGGAGGAAAAGAAACUAACAAGGAUUUCCCCAGUAACGGCGAGUGAAGCGGAAAUAGCCCAGCACCGAAUCCCUCAGUGUCGCGCUGACGGGAACUGUGGUGUGUGGGACGCCACCAGUCGCAUCAGUGGGCACCGAAGUCCUCCUGAUCGAGGCUUCACCCAGAGCGGGUGUAAGGCCUUUGCAGGUGUCCCUACUGUGCGGCCGCGAGCGUCUCAGGAGUCGGGUUGUUUGGGAAUGCAGCCCAAAGCGGGUGGUAAACUCCACUAAGGCUAAAUACUUGCACGAGUCCGAUAGCGCAAAGUC
rnacentral:rRNA from 1 species